UGGGGAAUUUUGGACAAUGGGCGAAAGCCUGAUCCAGCAAUGCCGCGUGUGUGAAGAAGGCCUUCGGGUUGUAAAGCACUUUUGUCCGGAAAGAAAUCCUUGGCUCUAAUACAGUCGGGGGAUGACGGUACCGGAAGAAUAAGCACCGGCUAACUACGUGCCAGCAGCCGCGGUAAUACGUAGGGUGCAAGCGUUAAUCGGAAUUACUGGGCGUAAAGCGUGCGCAGGCGGUUUGCUAAGACCGAUGUGAAAUCCCCGGGCUCAACCUGGGAACUGCAUUGGUGGCUGGCAGGCUAGAGUAUGGCAGAGGGGGGUAGAAUUCCACGUGUAGCAGUGAAAGUGCGUAGAGAUGUGGAGGAAUACCGAUGGCGAAGGCAGCCCCCUGGGCCAAUACUGACGCUCAUGCACGAAAGCGUGGGGAGCAAACAGGAUUAGAUACCCUGGAUAGUCCACGCCCAUAAACGAUGUCAACUAGUUGUUGGGGAUUCAUUUCCUUAGUAACGUAGCUAACGCGUGAAG
rnacentral:rRNA from 1 species